rnacentral:rRNA from 1 species
AGUAACGGCGAGUGAACAGGGAAAAGCCCAAAUUUGUAAUCUGGCACUUUUUACAAGUGUCCGAGUUGUAAUUUGUAGAGCUGUUAUCCGUACUGGACCAUGUACAAGUCUGUUGAAAAGCAGCAUCAUUGAAGGUGAAAAUCCUGUAGAUGAUAUGGACUACCAGUAUAUUUGUGAUACGGUUUCUAAGAGUCGAGUUGUUUGGGAAUGCAGCUCAAAGUGGGUGGUAAAUUCCAUCUAAGGCUAAAUAUAAGUGAGAGACCGAUAGCAAACAAGUACCGUGAGGGAAAGAUGAAAAGAACUUUGAAAAUAGAGUUAACAGUACGUGAAAUUGCUGAAAGGGAAACGUUUGAAGUUAGUUUUGUAUUCGUUGGAUCAGCUUCGCAAGGAGUGUAUUCUGAUGAUAAGCAAGUCAACAUCAGUCUAUGAGUGUUGGAUAAGGGUUUUGAGAAUGUAGCAAUUUAAUUGUGUUAUAGCUUGAGACUUGGAUACGAUGCUUUGGAUUGAGGAACGCGUAGUAAGCUUUGAGCGGAUUCGAAAGGAUCUCCUUACUAUGGAUGUUGGUGAAAUAACUUAACGCGACCCAUCUU